CCUGCAGACAGAUGCCAGAGGCAGGACGAGCACAGAUCCUGGGCUGGGGGGUGAGGCAGGCCUGUCCUCUGAGCUCCUGGCUGGGGAUCCAUCCCUCUGUCCCAGGGCACUUUCCCUGUUCUCGCUCUGCACUCUCGGCAUCAUCAGCAUCACAGAAACAACAAGCAAACUCUCUCCUCUUCCAGUUCAGAGGCUGUUUCAGAGAAAACUCCAGCAUUGCCUCAAGUGAACAGGAAACGCUUACAUUUCAAGGCCACUGACUGGAGCCCAUCUAAACAUCAUCAGGGACCACGCGCCAGCUCCCUUUUCAGUCAAGGAAACAGUGAUGGAGCAGCAUCUCCUCACCUUGUCUCUCCGUCAGCCUUCCUGUUCUGCAGAUCAGCUGGCCUGGCUUCUGCAUCAGGAUGAAAAGGUGCCCUGGGAGAUGUCCCAGGGAGCUAGUGAAUACCAAUACUCUUUCCCUCUCUGUAUGUAAAACCCCCUUUUAGGUGGACAGAACUAUUAGUUGAUGGAAGUAUUGACAUUUUUAUGGGGUUGCUUUUGGAAAAGGCUAACACGUAAUUCUAAAUUCAACAUAUGGUUGUGGUCAAACUGUGCGCCUACUGUGUAACGUGCUUGAACAGUAACCCGUGCAUUCUCUUGGCCAGCACGGAGAGAAGCUCGAUUAAUUUCAC
rnacentral:lncRNA from 1 species